UGUAAAUUGUCCAUAGAAGUACUGGAAUCAAAAUGCCACAUCCCCAGAUGCUAUAAAUUGUCCAUGGCCCCCUGGGUUGAUGGAAUAUCCGUUUGAGCCCUAUAGGUGUUACACAGUAAACAUCAUAAACAUUCCCCAUCUUGCAGGGCUCCGGAAGUGUAAAGACUGGCAAGGUGGGAGAUGGCAUCUUUAACGACAUCAGUAAAAACAACCAAUUCUGGUCAAUAGACUCCGGUAGCCUAAAGACCAGCAACGUGGACGACGACAGCUUUGACGACAACAGCGACUCCGGUAGCCUAAAGACCAGCAACGUGGGCGACGACAGCUUUGAC